GACGAACGCUGGCGGCGUGCUUAACACAUGCAAGUCGAACGGAAAGGCCUCUUUCGGGGGGUACUCGAGUGGCGAACGGGUGAGUAACACGUGAGUAACCUGCCCUUGACUUUGGGAUAACUUCAGGAAACUGGGGCUAAUACCGGAUAGGAGCUCCUGCUGCAUGGUGGGGGUUGGAAAGUUUCGGCGGUUGGGGAUGGACUCGCGGCUUAUCAGCUUGUUGGUGGGGUAGUGGCUUACCAAGGCUUUGACGGGUAGCCGGCCUGAGAGGGUGACCGGCCACAUUGGGACUGAGAUACGGCCCAGACUCCUACGGGAGGCAGCAGUGGGGAAUAUUGCACAAUGGGUGGAAGCCUGAUGCAGCAACGCCGUGUGCGGGAUGACGGCCUUCGGGUUGUAAACCGCUUUCGCUCAUGACGAAGCUUUGUGUGCCGGUAGUGGGUAAAGAAGCACCGGCUAACUACGUG
rnacentral:rRNA from 1 species